rnacentral:rRNA from 1 species
AUUGAACGCUGGCGGCAGGCCUAACACAUGCAAGUCGAACGAGUGGCGGACGGGUGAGCAAGGUCUGUGAAACUGACUGAUGGAGAGGGAUAACUACUGGAAACGGUAACUAAUACCGCACACCUUCAGAUGGGCCCAGAUGGGAUGAGCUAGUUGGUGGGGUAACGGCUCACCAAGGCGACGAUCCCUAGCUGGUCUGAGAGGAUGACCAGCCACACUGGAACUGAGACACGGUCCAGACUCCUACGGGAGGCAGCAGUGGGGAAUAUUGCACAAUGGGCGCAAGCCUGAUGCAGCCAUGCCGCGUGUAUGAAGAAGGCCUUCGGGUUGUAAAGUACUUUCAGCGGGGAGGCGUUACCCGCAGAAGAAGCACCGGCUAACUCCGUGCCAGCAGCCGCGGUAAUUC